rnacentral:rRNA from 1 species
ACACAUGCAGUCGAGCGGAACGAGUUAUCUGAACCUUCGGGGAACGAUAACGGCGUCGAGCGGCGGACGGGUGAGUAAUGCCUAGGAAAUUGCCCUGAUGUGGGGGAUAACCAUUGGAAACGAUGGCUAAUACCGCAUGAUGCCUACGGGCCAAAGAGGGGGACCUUCGGGCCUCUCGCGUCAGGAUAUGCCUAGGUGGGAUUAGCUAGUUGGUGAGGUAAGGGCUCACCAAGGCGACGAUCCCUAGCUGGUCUGAGAGGAUGAUCAGCCACACUGGAACUGAGACACGGUCCAGACUCCUACGGGAGGCAGCAGUGGGGAAUAUUGCACAAUGGGCGCAAGCCUGAUGCAGCCAUGCCGCGUGUGUGAAGAAGGCCUUCGGGUUGUAAAGCACUUUCAGUCGUGAGGAAGGUGGUGUAGUUAAUAGCUGCAUUAUUUGACGUUAGCGACAGAAGAAGCACCGGCUAACUCCGUGCCAGCAGCCGCGGUAAUACGGAGGGUGCGAGCGUUAAUCGGAAUUACUGGGCGUAAAGCGCAUGCAGGUGGUUUGUUAAGUCAGAUGUGAAAGCCCGGGGCUCAACCUCGGAAUAGCAUUUGAAACUGGCAGACUAGAGUACUGUAGAGGGGGGUAGAAUUUCAGGUGUAGCGGUGAAAUGCGUAGAGAUCUGAAGGAAUACCGGUGGCGAAGGCGGCCCCCUGGACAGAUACUGACACUCAGAUGCGAAAGCGUGGGGAGCAAACAGGAUUAGAUACCCUGGUAGUCCACGCCGUAAACGAUGUCUACUUGGAGGUUGUGGCCUUGAGCCGUGGCUUUCGGAGCUAACGCGUUAAGUAGACCGCCUGGGGAGUACGGUCGCAAGAUUAAAACUCAAAUGAAUUGACGGGGGCCCGCACAAGCGGUGGAGCAUGUGGUUUAAUUCGAUGCAACGCGAAAAACCUUACCUACUCUUGACAUCCAGAGACUUUCCAGAAAU